rnacentral:rRNA from 1 species
GGGGGCUUUUGGCCGGCCUAUCUGCAAGUCGAGCGAGGCAUAAGGAUCUUGGUCCUUUGACUGUAUAGGCGGAGGGAUGAUGCCCUUAUGUUUAACCUACCUAUUGGACUGGAAUAACUCCAGGAAACGAGGGCUAAUGCCCGAUAACUUUUAGAACCACAUGGAUCCAACGUGAAAUAAGGUUUUGCUAUCACUUAAGGCCUAACCCGCCCCCUAUUAACUACUUGGCAGAGUAACGGAUUACCCACGCUGCGAUACGUACCCGACCUGAAAGCCUGAUCGGCCACACUGGGACUGAUACUCGACCCAGACUCCUACCGUAAGCAACAAUAGGGAAUCGUCCGCAGUGGGCCAAAGCCUGACGGAGCUCCUCCACGUGAGUGAUGAAGGUCUUCGGAUCGAAAAAAUCUGUUAUUAAGGAACAACACAUGUGCAACUAACUGUGCACGUCUUGACGGUACCUAAUCAAAAACCCACGGCUAACUACAUGCCAGCAGCUUUGUUAAUACGAAGGUGGCACCUGUUAUUCGGAACUAUUGGGGGCAAAGCGAGCGUAUCCGUUGUCUCAAGGAUGAUGCGAAGGCCCUCCGCCCGUCCAUG